AUACCGAACUCAGCAAUAGCAGA
rnacentral:piRNA from 1 species